CCAUCAUAAAUGGUUUGAGCCGAUUGUGGCCAAACUUUUUCUUGAUGGACUGAACAUGGAAUUUAAUCUUCGUCGACAACUUAUUUUCUCCCAAACAGAAUGGCCCAGCCUUGAUGAUAUUAUAUCCAGUGUACUUGAGGAAGAGACUCGCUUAUCUCAACCUAAAGAAGAUGAUCUGACAUGUGGAGAUAAUCGUGCAGCAUUAUCUAUGCAAUAUUGCCACACCGCCAAGUCCUUUGUCAAAGACAAAAGCAAGUCAUUCUGUGACCACUGUAAGAGGAAUUGACACACAAACGAUGUUUGUUUUGAGUUGCAUGGCUACCCACCUUGGUGGGAUAAAGGGAAACCUCGGUCAGGGGGAGUUCAAGGGGUCAAUAAAAGGCAAGCUAACUAUAUUACAACCUUGCGGGAGCCACCGGUGGUAGAUGUACGAGAUCUUGAGGAAUUCAAAUCCAAGCUUAAACUCUCAGAAAGCUCAUCUUCCUUCCAGGACACCUCUAAGGCUGACCCCAUGAUCAUUACCACCUCUCACCAAGGAGCUAAAGACGGGGAGAAUCUUAGGGACUGGGACCGAGCAUGAUGGGCUCUACUACCUUGACGAUGGAAGUGACGAAGUGGCUCUCACAUCCUUCUUAUCACCAUGUCAAGAGUUAGUGUUACAUCACCGUAGGCUUGGUCAUCCUUCUUUUACAGCUAUGUCACGUGUCUAUCCUUCUUUGUUUAAGUCGUGUCCUAAGGAUGUCCUAGUAUGUGAUGCUUGUGAACUAGCAAAGCAUACCAGGGGCUCCUACCCAAGCGUUGGUCUGAGAAGUAAGAGACCAUUUGAAGUAAUUCAUUCUGAUGUUUGGGGACCCUGUGAGGUUGUUUCUGUUUCUGGACAUAGAUGGUUCGUAACCUUUAUAGACUGCUUUAGUCGUUACACGUGGCUUUAUCUCCUAAAGUAUACAAGUGAUGUCUUGUCUUGUUUUAAA